AAACGGAUAAAUCCGUUUCUUCCCAUCUAUAGUACUCCGGGUCUGUUGUCUGUGGCGGGGAAGGUUGCCCUGUAAUGUGACUUCGAUUUCCCCUACUUCCAAUGGCGACUUUCAUAAGUCGUGCCCAUAAUGGAUAGUUAUUUCCAUCGAGUUUGAACCCCAGAGUAACAUUGUCUGAAUUUCUCACUAGAUUUGCAAUCUGUAGAGUUAAUUCAUUUGUGGUUGGAUUUGAACUGGUGGUUUCUAUUUCUUCUGACAUUCUGUAUGAAAUUUUUCAGGAGGUGGAAGAAAGGAGAAAAAAAAGAGGCAGAGGCUGCCUUGAUGGUUCAAAUGUUUUGAGAAAGGUUUGGAACAGUGAUGAUAUUUUUUCUGAGUUCCUGCUUUGAUACCAUGUUAAAUCAUGGUUUCAACAUAAUACAGAAGAUAAAGAGAAGCAAGAUGAAUGUUUUCUAUUGCUUGUAUUUGUUAUUUUCUAUCUAUUACAACAUCUCCUUUUAUAGAGUUUAAAGAUGAUUGAAAGUCUACCAAAAUCCCUAUGAUUAAGGGAUUUUGGUUGAAGAUUGAAUGAAGUUUAAUGCUGCUGUAUUUCUUUCUGCUUUUCUUGACUUUUAUUUUCAA
rnacentral:lncRNA from 1 species